rnacentral:rRNA from 1 species
UACGGGGGGGGCAAGCGUUGUUCGGAAUUACUGGGCGUAAAGGGCGCGUAGGCGGCCCGCUAAGUCAGACGUGAAAUCCCUCGGCUCAACCGGGGAACUGCGUCUGAUACUGACAGGCUUGAAUCCGGGAGAGGGAUGUGGAAUUCCAGGUGUAGCGGUGAAAUGCGUAGAUAUCUGGAGGAACACCGGUGGCGAAGGCGGCAUCCUGGACCGGUAUUGACGCUGAGGCGCGAAAGCCAGGGGAGCAAACGGG